CUCUUAACUGCACACAAUGAUUGAUUUGUGAAGGUAUGUAGUCGUAUACAAAAAGUCUAAAUAUAUCUAUAGAGCAAAUCAUACUACAGUGGUACAGACUACAUAAAAAUAGAAACAAGUAUGUGCCAGCUAUGCAAGUAUUGUAAUCCUUCUGGUGAAAGGCUACUUUCAUGUAUGUCAAGAUUUCAUGACUCUAAGGUAUCAUCUGUCAUCUGUUGGAAUUUUAUCAAAGAGAUCAUCCCUGAAAUUUUAGGAAUACAACACAACUUACCGCUAGCACCACUUGACAUGAUACCAACACAAGUAUCGCAGUGUGUCGACUGCUUUUUUAUAUCAACUGUACAAGGAUAAGCAGCCAUUCACCUUCGCAUGUUUUUAUUAAUAAUUGUACUUUGUAGAAAAAUAUUAAGAAUCAGAAAAAUAUAUUUUUGUUUACUUAAUUUUUUUUAUAAAACUAACAACGAUUACUAGACUCCUUUAACAGUUUUCUAAAAAAUUGCACCCCCAUUUAAAAAAUAAACAUUGAUAAAAAUUAAACUUUCCACCAUUUUUAGCGUUAGAGAGUUGAUAAAUGAGUGUUGCCCUAGUUUGUCUUUAUAACGUUCGGAUAUUUAACAACAACAACUAAUUUGCAAAAUCUAAUAUCUUUCUUUUAAAUGUAUGAACAUAUUGUUACGUUUUACAGGUGAUUAAAAUCGGCGUGGGUUAAAUUCAACAAUUUAUUUCUUAAUAACUCGAAUUUACACGACUCAUUACACAGCGAUUAUGUACAAAAUAAUUCCAGCGCAAUUUGGCUAAACUCUGUCUUCACUGAACCAACUCGACUGAAUCCAUCUCUCGUUAUUUGCAGUAUACUAACUGUUCCCGACGGCUUAUUCUCGAACACCCGUCGCGACAUCCGCUUCCAGGCUCUUCUCCGGACGCCGUCAUGGACAAUGAGUCAUCGUCGCCG